rnacentral:rRNA from 1 species
UUCGCAAUGCCCGAAAGGGUGAACGAGCGACGCCGCGUGCGGGAUGAAGGGUUUCGGCUUGUAAACCGCUUUUCUUUGGGAAGAAGGUCUGUCUCGUGCAGAUGGGCUCGACGGUACCAGAGGAAUAAGCCUCGGCUAACUCCGUGCCAGCAGCCGCGGUAAGACGGAGGAGGCAAGCGUUGUUCGGAAUUAUUGGGCGUAAAGGGCGCGUAGGCGGAUCGGUAAGUCCGGUGUGAAAUCUCCCCGGUUUACCGGGGAAAUGUCGCUGGUACCUACUGAUUUGGAUGUCGGAGGGGAAACUGGAAUUUCCAGGGGUACGGGGGGAUGGCUUAAAUUUUGGAUGAACCACCGGGGGCGAAGGCAGUGGUCGGGCUGUAACUGGACCUUAAGGGCCGAAGCUCAGGGAAGCAAACGGAAUUAAUUACCCGGGUAUUCUGGGCUUUAAACAAUGGGAACUAAUUAAAGGGGUUUU